rnacentral:rRNA from 1 species
GACGAACGCUGGCGGCGUGCCUAAUACAUGCAAGUAGAACGCUGAAGGAGGAGCUUGCUUCGCUGGAUGAGUUGCGCACGGGUGAGUAACGCGUAGGUAACCUGCCUGGUAGCGGGGGAUAACUAUUGGAAACGAUAGCUAAUACCGCAUAAUAGCAGUUGUUGCAUGACAACUGUUUGAAAGGUGCAAUUGCACUACUACCAGAUGGACCUGCGUUGUAUUUGCUAGUUGGUGGGGUAACGGCUCACCAAGGCGACGAUACAGAGCCGACCUGGGAGGGAGAUCCGCCACACUGGGACCGAGAACAGGGCCAAGACCCUACGGGGGGCAGCAGUAGGGGAUCUUUGGAAAUGGGGGGAAGGCUGACCGAGCAACGCCGCGUGGGUGGAGGAGGGUUUCGGAACGUAAAGCUCUGUUGUGAGGGAAGAACGAGUGGGAGGGUGAAAAGUUCACACUGUGACGGUAUCUUACCAGAAAGGGACGGCUAACUACGUG